GUUCUUUGCAGAUGUAACCCGAGCUCUAAUCGGAUCAAUCCUGUCAAGGUCUAUUAGAAUCGGAUUGGCAUGUCAUACUCCGGGGUUGUAAAACUGAGGACUGCGGAAGCCAAACCGAAAUUACCGACGGUUUGUUGCGCUUCCAAAAGAAACAGAGCCACUGGCUGUACCGGAGGUAACCAUAGCAACGCCCGUGACCCCAGCGGAGGUGCUAGUUAUGAGACCCCAAAUGGGAGAAAAACAAAUCCGAACGCAGUAACAUCAAAGCCUAAAGCUAUAACGUGCAGUGGGAACGAUCAGCGUGCUCAGAAAAAACACGACAAGUCUCCAAGUGCCACACAAAGUUACGGGGCAUUUACAGUGAUCCCUCCCAAUCCAAAGAAGAGGGAUGAACUACAGAAAAGAGCUGAAGUUGAACUGGCAGCGCUGGAAAAUUUCAAACUUAAUAAGAAAGUGCGCCAUGUGUCCUUUGUCCCAAGUGCUGUAGGGGGAACUUUAACAUUGGAAGAAGUAAGAAGAAAACAGGAGGAGCAGAUGAAAACAUGCAAAAAGCUUCACCAUCUGAGACCUGAGACUAGAAAUUAGAAAAUACAUCGUGCACUGUUUUGGCAUAAUCUUUGAUUCGGUAUCAUUGCAAAUUAGGGGGAUCACGCAGAAACGAUCGGUUUUUCACUGUUAUAUUGAGGCAUAGGAGAAAACGUAUUAGUUACCACGAGUAAAUGUAGUGAUGAAUGAAAAUCAAGAAGAAACAUGUUUUAUUCAUAUAUAACCAUUGCUAACCUGGGGAUUAUCUUGAAUACACCGUAUAUUGAUGUUUGUAUUAUCACAUACAUUACAUAUUUUAACACAUAUAAACAUUCAUCAUCUUUAAAAUUGGUUCACGGUGUACAUGUUUUCCAUUUUUUUCUUCCGUAAUUCCAGUUUGCUGAACUUUAUCGGUUAAUAAAAAAUAUUAUCACUACUUUUAACAUAUUACUGUACCUACUGUAUGUUUGAAGUUACUCGUGUUUUUAAGAAUUUUGUGAAACGGCAGCUCUGGUGCUGUAGCCACCACAUGCGAAAACCAUUUAGUUGAACACGUUAUUGUCAUUUAAUGCUAAUUAAAUAAUCUUUUUUUGUCCCGCAAUGGAUAAUAAACCGUGGAUUGUGGUUAAACAAGUUGUACCGGAUGGGAUAUAUUUCUGAAAAUCAUAUAUACGAAAUAAAAAUGCUGCUGAAACUGAAGCUUAAACGAAAAUGGGGAGUAUUUAAAAAUCACAGUGGUUAUUUUCUCUGGUUUGUAGUUAUGACAUUUACCGAACGUUUCUGCAAACAGAUCGGGAUGUUAUUGACAAGAGAAUGGCGGUGCCAUCCAUAAUACACGAGCAACAAAUAGCCAUACAUAUUAAUGAGGACCCCGACAGAAAGCGGUUGCGGUGAAAAUGUUCGACCUGAUAUGAUCCAUAAAAAUGUGAUCCCUGAAAUAACAAAUGAGCUUCCUUAUGUAAAAAACUACAUUUCCCAUGAGCGACGGCUGGUAUUUGUCUCUGCGACAUGGCAAGGAAAUGUUUUGGUUCUGGGUCUUUCAUCCUUGAAAAUGAUCAAGCAAUAAAACUGUCUGUUGUGUAAUUUGUUGCAGCACGAAAAAAUAAGUUAGUUAAACCAUUCUAAUGCAGUAUAAAAUAAACCGAUUUUUAUAUAGCC